CUCUCCUCAGAGUCACCUCUGCUUUCAGCCAGGAUGUCCACUUGGGGGGGUACUGCUACCAGAAGUAGGAAUAGCCCUAGAACCCUACAACCUUCACCCCACUCUGUCUUCCCCUGAAAUAAGCCUGUGACUACAGGGGCGCAGAGCCCACAGAAACCUAGAGCUGAAGGAGCAUUUCUAGCCACCAUGAGCAAGAAGCCAGGGUAGAGCCCAGUCGGGAUGGCAUGCCAGGAGUGGGCACUCCCCUUACCUGUUCUUCUUUUAGAUAACCACCCUCCCUCCCUCAGGACCAGCCCGGAAGUCUCUCCAAGAGCCCCAAAGUCCAGGAAUCCCCACCAAAGGAUUCAGAAACAGCGCCCACAGUCCGGGGCCCCUCUGAACGCCUAAUUUAGAUCCCACACCUGCUCGGCUUUCCUGCUUCCGGAACCCACGCUGGACCCCCCACCUCUCGGACAGCCUGCCUGGCACUGGCCAGACCCUUCCCCCGACUCCGCGCUACUCCCCUGGGUGUGCGCAUAUCCGCGCGCUCUCCCAGUCGCCCUUUACCUUCUGGAGGAAAAGGCCUUUCCCAGCCGCAACCGAUGCCCAGACUGGCGCUUCUAUCUCGGUUAUUCUCUGGAUCUGAAGUGUUGGAACGGGGGUCUGACAGCCCUCUCUCCUAGAAGAUGGGAUUAAACAAGGAAAUUCUUAUACACUUAGGGACCAUCAUUGGCUGUUUGGUCUUCGGCAAACGUUUAUUGAGGCAAUAGUCCUGAGUGGUUAAGACCAGGAGUCAGAUUUGAAUUUGAAUUUGUGGACCUGACAAAUAAACUUGAUCAAAUGA